AAUUUCUGUCCGAUCCAUGUCAAGCCUAACUAGAGAUUUUAGAUCACCAAUGGACUCAGGCAAUUUCUUCAGUGAUGAGCACAACUUAAGAAUAAGCUCUU